CGAAAAAGGAGAACAUUACAGAAAUCUAUCGUAAUAGGUACUUCAAGCAUCAAAAUCAGCCUUCCUGAACCCGAACGUACCGAAAUUGAAGCCAUGGAUGCGCAAUGGUGUACAGAAGGAGGGGAAUAUCUCCCGAUGUCCAAACUGCUUGACGGUUGGACCGAGGAGAAAAGGAGAAGAGUGGACACUGGCACAAUUGAUAAGUUUUACCACCAUAACUAUUCCAGCAAGACUUACCGCUCUAUGGUGGAAGUUAAAAGUUAUAU